UUUUUUUUUUUUUUUUUUUUUUUUUGACU
rnacentral:ribozyme from 1 species